AAUAGAUACCCGGGUAGUCCACGCCGUAAACGAUGGAUACUAGCUGUUGGGGGUAUCGACCCCCCCAGUAGCGAAGCUAACGCGUUAAGUAUCCCGCCUGUGGAGUACGGUCGCAAGACUAAAGCAUAAAGGAAUUGACGGGGACCCGCACAAGCGGUGGAUUGUGUUCUUUAAUUCGAUGAUAAACGAAGAACCUUACCAGGGUUUGACAUCCCUUGAAUUAUGCCGAAAGGCGUGAGUGCUUUAUUGAACAAGGUGACAGGUGAUGCAUGGCCGUCGUCAGCUCGUGUCGUGAGAUGUUUGGUUAAGUCCAUCAACGAGCGCAACCCUUGUCUUCAGUUGGAUUUUUUCUGAAGAGACUGCCCCCGGCAACGGGGAGGAAGGAGGGGAUGAUGUCAGGUCAGUAUUUCCCUUACAUCCUGGGCUAGAAACGCAAUACAAUGGCGAGUACAAUGCGCAGCGAAGCGGCAACGUGAAGCAAAUCGCAUCAAAACUCGUCCCAGUUCGGAUUAGAGGCUGAAACUCGCCUCUAUGAAGUCGG
rnacentral:rRNA from 1 species